UUUUUUUUGUGAUAAAUGCCUCAAUGUUUAGUUUUGUAUGAGAUUUCUGGCUUUCCAUUACCUGCAUGUCCAACUAGUUUGUUUGUCAUAACAUGUAUACUGUGUAAAAUAUCUAACAAGACAAUAUUUAGUCUGUAUUCCAUGUCUCAAUGAUGUGUUAAGACAAGUCUUUAAAAGGUACUAGAAUAUUUUUUUUCGUUAUUCUGUUUGGUAUUUGUGUUGGUACGUAUUACUAUUGUGUUUGGUAUUUGAGUUUGUACAUAUUACUAUUGUGUUUGGUAUUUGUGUUGGUACGUAUUACUAUUGCGUUUGGUAUUUGUGUUGGUACGUAUUACUAUUGUGUUUGGUAUUUGUGUUAAUACGUAUUACUAUUGUGUUUGGUAUUUGUGUUGGUACGUAUUACUACAGUGUUUGGUAUUUGUGUUGGUACAUAUUACCAUUGUGUUUGGUAUUUGUGUUGGUACAUAUUACUAUUGUGUUUGGUAUUUGUGUUGGUACAUAUUACUAUUGUGUUUGGUAUUUGUGUUUGUACAUAUUACUAUUGUGUUUGUUAUUACAUUUUUGUUAUUCUGUUUGGUACGUAUUACUAUUGUGUUGCGUAUUUGUGUUGGUACGUACUAAUAUUGUGUUUGUUAUUACAUUUUUGUUAUUCUGUUUGGUACAUAUUACUAUUGUGUUGCGUAUUUGUGUUGGUACGUACUAAUAUUGUGUUUGGUAUUACAUUUUUGUUAUUCUGUUUGGUACAUAUUACUAUUGUGUUUGGUAUUUGUGUUGGUACGUACUAAUAUUGUGUUUGGUAUUACAUUUUUGUUAUUCUGUUUGGUACAUAUUACUAUUGUGUUUGGUAUUUGUGUUGGUACGUAUUACUAUUGUGUUUGGUAUUUGUGUUGGUACAUAUUACUAUUGUGUUUGGUAUUUGUGUUGGUACGUAUUACUAUUGUGUUUGGUAUUU
rnacentral:lncRNA from 1 species